rnacentral:misc_RNA from 1 species
AAGUCGUAACAAGGCCUCCGUAGGUGAACCUGCGGAGGGAUCAUUACAGAGUUCAUGCCCUUCGGGUAGAUCUCCCACCCUAUGUUUACAUACCUUUGUUGCUUUGGCAGGCCCGUUCAGUCCUGUACUGAACCACCGGCUCCGGCUGGUCAGCGUCUGCCAGAGGAUCUCAAACUCUGAUUGUUAGUGAUGUCUGAGUACUAUAUAAUAGUUAAAA